GCGCGCAUCAUUGGGGAGUAGCUGAUUUCCUUUAUUGGAAAUGUACGUGUCAACAUACUCGUUUAAAUAACGUGGCGCGUACGGGCUGUGAUUAGCACAGUCAGGCGAGACCAAAGACAGUUAUCGGCGCUGUUUACUGGGGGCGCUGUGCUGUUCUUUGUCAAUUCCCCGGUCAGGAU
rnacentral:sRNA from 2 species